UACGUAGGGUGCGAGCGUUAAUCGGAAUUACUGGGCGUAAAGCGUGCGCAGGCGGCUUUGCAAGACAGAUGUGAAAUCCCCGGGCUCAACCUGGGAACUGCAUUUGUGACUGCAAGGCUAGAGUACGGCAGAGGGGGAUGGAAUUCCGCGUGUAGCAGUGAAGUGCGUAGAUAUGCGGAGGAACACCAAUGGCGAAGGCAAUCCCCGGGGCCUG
rnacentral:rRNA from 1 species